CCACCACUGACUGAGGUCUUGCAUUUUCAGUCAAGGAUGCAAUGAGGAGCCUAACAAGUGCUAUCACUAUAUAACUCCCCAGCAUGAUGGAGUUUAAAGCUCUUGGGCCACCACAUCUCAGAGCUGUGGAAGAGGAAAGGACUUUUCAGACUGAGUCUGGGAUAAUUCUCAGUGGGAAGGAUUCGAUGAGGAUGUGUGACAGAAGAAUCAGCAGUUUUGGUACCUCCAAGGCUUGUUGGAAUCUGGAGGACUUUAACCCACCGAAGGAAUUAAGCACGAGUUCAGAUGAGCACAGCCAGACUGGCUGAAGACUCAACAAACAUUUGGCUUAAGAAAUUCCCAGAAGAGGAAGAACUGGCGAAAGGGAAGCUGGGGUGCUGGCAGCUGCCCCCAGAGCAGAGGUUCUUUCCUUGAGUUCCUGCUAUGACUUUCCUCAAGAAUGCACUGUGAUGUGGAAGGCGAAGCUGAAAUAAACCCUUCCCAAGUUGCUUUUCGUCAUGGUGUCUUAUCACAGCAACAGAAACCCUAAG
rnacentral:lncRNA from 1 species